rnacentral:pre_miRNA from 1 species
UCAAAUGUCGCCCCAAACCCUGCGGGCGUGCUCGUUGUGCAGUGUGUUGUCUGAUCAUUGCACAUGAUGUACGACCUGCAGGGUCAAUCCUUGACCCGUACCCC